GACGAACGCUGGCGGCGUGCCUAAUACAUGCAAGUUGAGCGCUGAAGGUUGGUACUUGUACCAACUGGAUGAGCAGCGAACGGGUGAGUAACGCGUGGGGAAUCUGCCUUUGAGCGGGGGACAACAUUUGGAAACGAAUGCUAAUACCGCAUAAAAACUUUAAACACAAGUUUUAAGUUUGAAAGAUGCAAUUGCAUCACUCAAAGAUGAUCCCGCGUUGUAUUAGCUAGUUGGUGAGGUAAAGGCUCACCAAGGCGAUGAUACAUAGCCGACCUGAGAGGGUGAACGGCCCCAUUGGGACUGAGACACGGCCCAAACUCCUACGGGAGGCAGCAGUAGGGAAUCUUCGGCAAUGGACGAAAGUCUGACCGAGCAACGCCGCGUGAGUGAAGAAGGUUUUCGGAUCGUAAAACUCUGUUGGUAGAGAAGAACGUUGGUGAGAGUGGAAAGCUCAUCAAGUGACGGUAACUACCCAGAAAGGGACGGCUAGCUACGUG
rnacentral:rRNA from 1 species